UAAUACGAAGGGGGCUAGCGUUGUUCGGAAUUACUGGGCGUAAAGCGCUCGUAGGCGGAUUGGUCAGUCAGAGGUGAAAGCCCAGGGCUCAACCUUGGAAUUGCCUUUGAUACUGCCAGUCUUGAGUUCGGGAGAGGUGAGCGGAAUUCCGAGUGUAGAGGUGAAAUUCGUAGAUAUUGGGAAGAACACCAGUGGCGAAGGCGGCUCACUGGCUCGAUACUGACGCUGAGGUGCGAAAGCGUGGGGAGCGAACAGGAUUAGAUACCCUGGUAGUCCACGCCGUAAACGAUGAGUGCUAAGUGU
rnacentral:rRNA from 1 species